rnacentral:lncRNA from 1 species
AAACAAAUACGACAUUAAAAAAAAUAAAAUUCUCUUUGUUACAAAAACAUCCAUCUCCAUCUCACGGAGGUGAGCUCUGUGUCACGGAAGAGGGUUCUUUCUAUGACAAGGAGAGCUCCUUCUCCGUGUCACAGAUGCACACGCACUUCGGGACACGGAAAGCCCAUCUCCAUUUCACGGAAAGCUUAAACAAAAAUAAGAAACAAAAAUCUUAUAUAAAAAAUCAUCAGUUCCAAAACCAAGCUCUAAUUCUCCAUGAUAUAUUCUCACGCCACAGUAUAAAUCUCUAAAUGGUUACCUUCUCUAGCGAAAUUUUCAGCAAAUGGUUACCUUUUCCAGCCAAAUUUUCCAACACAGUAUGUGUGCACCUUAUCCGUCUAAAAUCUGUGGACGUCAAUAUGAGAAUAGAAGAAUGACCCUUCAGCUUUAGAUACAAUAAUAAAUAAGUUGUGUUUUGUUUUCUUGUCAUAAUUGAAA